UUGCCUUAAACUAAUGAGUAAGGAAAAUAACGAUCUGGGUGACGCCAGAUCCUUACGAUAAGUUUCGUAUAYCAAUUUUUGACGGAAAAGAGGUUGCCCUCGAGUGACCCGCUUACUUCUGCGGGAUGCUCGUGUUGAUAGCGACCUCCGUCC